UACGGAGGAUGCAAGCGUUAUCCGGAAUCAUUGGGCGUAAAGCGUCCGCAGGUGGCUUUUCAAGUCUGCUGUCAAAGCCCGGGGCUCAACCCUGGAGAGGCAGUGGAAACUGAGGAGCUAGAGUGCGGUAGGGGCAGAGGGAAUUCCCGGUGUAGCGGUGAAAUGCGUAGAUAUCGGGAAGAACACCAGUGGCGAAAGCGCUCUGCUGGACCGCAACUGACACUCAUGGACGAAAGCUAGGGGAGCGAAUGGGAUUAGAUACCCCAGUAGUCCUAGCCGUAAACGAUGGACACUAGGUGUUGCGCGUAUCGACCCGUGCAGUGCCGUAGCCAACGCGUUAAGUGUCCCGCCUGGGGAGU
rnacentral:rRNA from 1 species